UACCACUGCUGUUCUCGUCCUGGAACUCUAUGGAGUCGGACUUGGAUCGAUAAUAGUUAUAUUGGCAUUCAGUCCCCCAUAUUUUGCCUCCCCCAACAUGUGUGCUCCCACCGAAUUUCCACGCAUUGAAUACUUGGAUUAACGGGAUCAAUCGCUGGCUUCUCCUGCAUCCUGCAUUGAGCUGCCUUUAUUAAAUUUGAAGCGUUAACUCUAGAUGGAAAAUUCUACUAAUUCUCCUCUCCUCCCACGUCCUCCAACCUCCCCCCUCCCCCGCCUGGCAAUAGGACUAACCAAAAGAAGCAAAUACUGGACUGACAGUAUUCGUCUGGGUGGCUUCAAGUUGUUUCGUCGAACAAGAACGGACAGCAAUGGCAAAUAGAUUCCCAGUCCCGCAUGAUAUCCACACCUGACAUCAAGACAGGAAAUCACUAUUAUUCAGACCACAUACUCUUUUUAUUCCUAGUUCAAUAGGGUGAGUAGUGAUGCAGCGUUCCCUCACAUGCAUAAAACGGUGGGCGCGGGAUCUCAGGAUGCUAUGACGACAUUUCCAACCAACAUCUUUGCCCAAGGCCAAUAGCUCUUUUUUCACCAUACAAUCAGCGGAACGUUGGAGCGGAAUUGGGCAUCCAUGCAGCAUAGCAUGGGCCAUGCCUGGGGAUGCGGCAAAAUGGAAGUCAUUCUGACAUAGUAAUUCAUCUAACCUGGGAUAAAGUUUGAGUGCAAGAUAUGAGGAUUUGAGCAUUUUCAAAUAAGAUACUCAUAAGUCACCGAGAAGCUUAAAAACCUGGCGAAUUAAAAUCACGCCGCGAACGGCCACAGACUUACCAAAGCCGCCAGAUAUACCGUAUUUCACAGUGGAAGAAAUCUGAAUCGUUCCACAGAUUGCUGAAGUGCGCGACAAUCAAACUCGGCAGAAUCCUUGUUGAACACACUCGUUUUAUUGUCCGAUAACCCCGCCAACUUUUCUCACUCCUCGUUUGGAACCCAACUACCCCUCCUUCCUCCGUGUCAUAUGGAGGCGACAACUAAACAGGUCAUAGACUCUGACGCAAUCAUGCAUAUUCGACAACUAUCACCCCGCGGCGGGGUGAAAGAAGGUUCUGUCACUGGUAGUCCGCUCGCUGCGGAUAGCCGUUGCAAAUUUCAUAGCCACAAGAACUUAAUCGUUUUAACUUAUUACAGCAAAUAAAUCAAUUGCCCUUCCCGUCCCGCCCCGAGAAACCGAACCAAAUUUCUGGUUUUUCCCUUUCCUUUUUUUCAUUAUUAUGUGAUCACUCUCCAUCAUCAGUGUUACGUGUUUGUUUGAUAUUACUAUUUUUAUCAUGAAAUCACCCCCAACUCAACUCCAGACGCAUUGCAUGAAUGGUGAGAGAAUCAUGACUAGCCGCAGCGACGCGUGUGUAGCGCAUACGUAUGCACAGAAAGAUCCGAUCAAGCAGGAGAACAAACGCAUUUACAAUGCUCAAAUGAGAGCCCAGCAGGGAUUUCGCUGACUGAACGGAGGCCGCCUCAUUGACGAGAGAUCAUAUUCCUUUGCCUUUGAAACCUCAUAUAGAUGAGAAAGUGGAUUCUUGGUUUGCGAGUUACGCGUGUUGACAUACGUACUGCUUGGGAAUUUUUGACAAGGGAGAGGGGUGGGGGAUUGUGUACUCGUAUGCUGCUAUCCCAGCAGUGGAUCUUAUCAGGGCAGUCAAACAACUAGUUGAGAAGUGGAGAUUUGGGAAUAAAGCCAUUGUUUAAAAAUAGACAUCUCUCUGGAGCAUUUUCGUGUGGGUGUUCCUUGGCGUCUCUAUAGUAGAAAUGUCGGUGUAUAUUAGAAGCUUAACUAAGGGAAAAAUAACGAACUCUGAAGGGAAACUAACAGCUAAUGUGUUGCCUUUUUGGGGCUUUUUUUUUUUGUUUUCCCUUGUUCUAUUUUUGGAGAGGUGGUGUUUGAAAUUGAGAAGAAUUGUCACCAACUGUGACCAAGAAGUCACAUUCAGGGCA
rnacentral:sRNA from 1 species